rnacentral:rRNA from 1 species
AUUGAACGCUGGCGGCAUGCCUUACACAUGCAAGUCGAACGGCAGCACGGGUGCUUUCACCUGGUGGCGUUUGGCGCACUCGUGUGUAAUACAUCUGAACAUGUCCUUUAUUUGGCUUUAGCCCCUCGAAAGCCGGUUUACUACUGCCUACUAUCUUCUUUUGCCAGCGUGUUCCCUUCUGGCCUCGCGCUUUUGUGUUUCUCUAUGGUUGAUUAGCUAGUUGGUGUGGUAAAGGCCUACCAAGGCGACGAUCAGUAGCUGUUCUGAGAGGUCGAUCAGCCACACUGGAACUGAGACACGGACCAGACUACUACGGGAGGCAGCAGUGGGGAAUAUUGGACAAUGGGCGAAAGCAUGAUAGAGCAAAGCCGCGUGAGUGAAGAAGGACUUCGGGUUGUAAAGCACUUUUGUCCGGAAAGAAAAAAUGGGAAAGAAAACGGUCGGGGGAUGACGGUACCGGAAGAAAAAGCACCGGCUAACUACGUG